UAACGAAUCAACUCGUGAACCGAUUCGCGGGUUCACGAGUUGAAACGGUUCAUUUUUAUUUUAUUUUAUAAUUUAUUUUUUAUGUUUUUUAAUCAAAUAUUUGUUUUAAAUAAUCAUUUUAUUUUAUAAAUAAAAGAAGUCAAGAGAAAAGAAGUCAGGAAAAAAUAAAAUAAAGCAUGAAACAAAGGGUCCUGGAACUCGCAGGCGGGCGGGCUGAAUGAUUCGUUCGAUUCGCAUGAUUCGUUCGAUUCGUGUAAUAAUUCGUCUGAUUCAAAUUGCACAAGUUUCUUACUAUUUACAAACUUUGAAAGUGAUUUUUAUUAAAUAAUUAUUCAAACUAACGCUGGGCAUUUGAAUAUAUAAAACUCGAUAUUUACCUUCCUCCUCGAUUCAUAUUUACAUGUACAUUAAAUUAUAGAACAUUAUUUAAUAUUAUAAAAUAGGUCCUUAGACUUUUUAAAUUAUUUUGAUGUAUGAAUUAAUUUUUAGAAUUAUUAUUAAAUUGUUAUUUUAAUAUAAACUCUAAUUUUAUAACUCUAAUGACUUUGUAGAUGUUAAUAUAUUUAUUUAAUAUUAAAUAAAAGUAGGAAGAUAAAAAGUUAAAGAAAAUAUUAAAAAAUUUAACGUUUGACUGAUUCGUUGACCGGCUCGUUCGAUGAUUCGUUCGGCUCGUUCGUUCGAUGAUUCGUUUGGGUCAGAUUCUUUUGAUUCGCGGGCCGGUUCCGGGCCGGUUCCGAGUUCCUACCUAAUGAUUCGUAUUCGAUUCGUAAAAUUUAACGAGUCGGGCCGGGCCGAAUCAAACCCGCCACGAGUCGAAUUUUAACGAAUUUUUAUCCGGUCCGGUUCCGAACGAGCGGUUCGAACCCGCUCAUUUGGCCACCUCUAGUU
rnacentral:lncRNA from 1 species